GUGCUUGCACCUUUGCUGUCGAGCGGCGGACGGGUGAGUAAUGCCUAGAUAUCUGCCUAGUCGUGGGGGAUAACAGUUGGAAACGACUGCUAAUACCGCAUACGCCCUACGGGGGAAAGGAGGGGACCUUCGGGCCUUUCGCGAUUAGAUGAGUCUAGGUGGGAUUAGCUAGUAGGUAAGGUAAUGGCUUACCUAGGCGACGAUCCCUAGCUGUUCUGAGAGGAUGAUCAGCCACACUGGGACUGAGACACGGCCCAGACUCCUACGGGAGGCAGCAGUGGGGAAUAUUGCACAAUGGGGGAAACCCUGAUGCAGCCAUGCCGCGUGUGUGAAGAAGGCCUUCGGGUUGUAAAGCACUUUCAGCGAGGAGGAAAGGGUAGUAGUUAAUAACUGCUAUCUGUGACGUUACUCGCAGAAGAAGCACCGGCUAACUUCGUGCCAGCAGCCGCGGUAAUACGAGGGGUGCAAGCGUUAAUCGGAAUUACUGGGCGUAAAGCGUACGCAGGCGGUUUGUUAAGCAAGAUGUGAAAGCCCCGGGCUCAACCUGGGAAUUGCAUUUUGAACUGGCAAACUAGAGUCUUGUA
rnacentral:rRNA from 1 species